CCUACGGGUGGCAGCAGUGGGGAAUCUUCCGCAAUGGGCGAAAGCCUGACGGAGCAACGCCGCGUGAGUGAAGAAGGUCUUCGGAUCGUAAAGCUCUGUUGUCGGGGACGAAUGUACCUUUUGUGAAUAAUGAGAGGUAAUGACGGUACCUGACGAGGAAGCCACGGCUAACUACGUGCCAGCAGCCGCGGUAAUACGUAGGUGGCGAGCGUUGUCCGGAAUUAUUGGGCGUAAAGGGAGCGCAGGCGGGAAGGCAAGUCAGUCUUAAAAGUGCGGGGCUCAACCCCGUGAUGGGAUUGAAACUGUCUUUCUUGAGUGCAGGAGAGGAAAGCGGAAUUCCUAGUGUAGCGGUGAAAUGCGUAGAUAUUAGGAGGAACACCAGUGGCGAAGGCGGCUUUCUGGACUGUAACUGACGCUGAGGCUCGAAAGCGUGGGGA
rnacentral:rRNA from 1 species